rnacentral:tRNA from 1 species
ACUAUUUUGACAGAAAAAUGUAUUAAAUUUAGAAUUUAAUUAUAUGUUAGAAAUAACAUAAAUAGUA